CUUGACCUCGCAGACAUCUUGUGAUUUUGGGAUGAGCUGUGAGAACAGAUAGCAUAAAGAGAAAAGAGUAGCCUGACCUUGGAAAAAGGCUCUAAUCUAGUGUCUUCAUAGAGAUGAGGAAGCAGCUUUGACAAGUGGAAGUUAAGCCCUGGAUGGUCCCGGACUAUCUAGCCAUUGCUUAAUCUUCUUAAUAUGGCAUUGUGUAAACAACAAAUAGCAGAAGUUUGUGGAUAUGAGUCAGCUGCCUCAGUCUUUAGUACUGGUUUUCCUGUCAAAAAGGGUCUCAGUGAUUGGAGAAACAACAAAAAAAAAACAACCAAAAAACAAACCAAAACAGAGGUAAAGUAAGUUCCCUGAAUUUUUAAUUUGGCUGAGAGAUCGACUACACUGUCAGCAAAUUCUACAAAGGGUUUUGUUUUUUUUGUAAGAGGGGGAGAAACGUAUUUCAGGAAAUAAAAUAAUUUGUGUUCCUUAAAACCUAUGCUUU
rnacentral:lncRNA from 1 species